AUGGAAUUUGGAGUCACAAGGACAAGGGAGCAGAAUCAGCUCUGCCGUCUAUGAACUGAUUUUGAAGAAAGAAAUUCACCUCUCUGAGUCUCAGUUGCUUGAUCUGUUAAAUAGAAAUGGAUCCUAUUAACACAUAGUAGGAAAAUAAACAAGUUACAAUGGUGAUUAAGGGUCUCAAACCAGGAAGACAGGAGACAAAUCAGAUCAUAUUACAGAAAAGAAGUGGAGGGAAAAAAUGGAGAUUUGUUUGAAAAAGAGAGGCUUUCAUUUCCCACUAUCUUCCUGUUGGCAAUCAGUCCAACAAAUGUGGUGAGAAACACAGAGCUCAGCGUCAAGUGGCACGGAGAGAACAUCUACACCCACACGCCUCUGAUUCACACCUGAAGUUUUUCACUGUGCUUGAUUGGAAAUCCAAGUCUCCUGGCUUCCAAGGCUGCGUAGAGGGAUGGCUAUGACCAUGAACUUUGGUGUCACAGGGAUGGGAGCUUGCGUUUCUUCUUUCCUGUCUACUGGCUGUGUGAUCUUGAAUUAAUUAUUUAACCUGACUGUCUUCAUCUGUAAGAUGAUGAUAAUGGCUCCAAUAUCACAGGCUAUUGCAAGGAUUAAAUUCAAUCAUGAGUGUCAAGUCCUUUCUACAUAAUGUCAUCUAUAAAUGGUGGCUAUUAUCCUUUCUACGCCUUGGUUAUGCUAAGUUCAAAUGUGAUAUUAUGAGCGAAUAAACUUUACUCUGCAUUUCCCACCACUGACAUUCUACAAGUCAUUGAAAAAUAUGUAUAUAUAUAUAUCCCCUAUAAAUACAUAUUAUACCAGCUUUAUCAUUAUUAUUUAACCCAAAGUAUGAGUCAACUUUGAGAGAGAUGGUGAAUAAUUGAAUGGAAUUAGUGGAAUCCUGAUAUUGAUUACUUGCUGUUAAAAUUUAACAUUUUUCACAAAUGUGAUUCUUUAGAUAAGCUUGGUAAUCUAUCUUUAAAAUUUGACAUCAUUCCCUUGAGACAAUUUCC
rnacentral:lncRNA from 1 species